AAACCUUUAUUGGUAAAGUUCCAGUUAUGUUGCAUUCAAUUUACUGUCUACUAAAUGGCUUAGCAGAUCAUGAUCUUUGUGAGUUACAUGGAUGCCUCUUGGAUCCUGAUGGCUACUUCAUUAUUAAUGGAUCAGAAAAGGGCCAUGCUGUAGGACUUGUGAAGAAUUUAGCUCUGAUGGCUUAUAUUUCAGUUGGAUCUCAACCAUCUCCAAUUCUGGUAUUUUUAGAAGAAUGGAGUAUGGAAGUUUAGAAGAAAUUUCUCCUGCAGCUGUUGCUGAGUGUGUAUAGAUGCAAAAAACUAUUGUUAAUCUUUAGUUAUAGCUUAUUAUAGGGUUACUAAGUACAGAAUGCUUUUGGUGUUGCAUUUUAGUGCAACCAAUAUUUUUGUUAAUGGCUGCUGGGUUGGAAUACAUAAAGAUCCUGAACAACUUAUGAACACUCUAUGGAAAUUGUGGCAUCAGGUAGACAUCACUGUGUCUGAAAUAAGAGUCUUUAAUUAACUAAGACCAUGUGAUCUGUGAGAUUUCCAAAUGAGGUAUAAGACUAGUGAAAGUUAUCUUUGCAUUGGUAUCUUUCUUGAACUGGUUUCCUUUUAAUUGUAAAGUAUAUUGUCAAAAUUAUCGUUGAUGUUUUGAGCUAAAUUUAAUUAUAAGGUAUUCCUUGCUUUAAUGCCUUAGAUAUAUACAUCUAUAUGCAUUGAGAAUCUUUUUGUAAAGCUGACAACAGUACUUUUUUUUUUUUUUUUUGCCGUACACGGGCCUCUCACUGCUGUGGCCUCUCCCGUUGCAGAGCACAGGCUCCAGACGGGCAGGCUUAGCGGCCAUGGCUCACGGGCCCAGCCGCUCUGUGGCAUGUGGGAUCUUCCCGGACCCGGGCACGAACCCGUGUCCCCUGCAUCGGCAGGCGGACUCUCAACCACUGCGCCACCAGGGAAGCCCCUGACAACAGUACUUUUAAAAAGGGAAUGAGCAUCUCUGAUUUCUCCUUUGUCUGAUUCCAGAGAUUCAUUCAUGAAAUGUGAUACACCUCUAUUAGAUCUUCUUAUGUUUAGAGGCUGUUGAAGGACUCUGGGAUUAGGACGAAUUUUUUUUAAUCAUUAAAAUAGAGUAUGAGUUCUAAUACUCCCUGAAAAUAGGGCUUUUGCUUUUAGUGUACUGUAUUGAGGGAUAGGGCUCAGGCUUUUGAUUCUCUCAGAUAUACACCUUGGGGUCUGUCUAGGUGAAAGUAGGUUUGGAGAGAAACUGUAACACACUUCACCCAGAGCUGGCCUCCUGUCUACGUAGCAAAGCAGAGAAUCGAGGUUUGGCUGCUCCAAAGCAGGCAGACCCUGGGUUUUGACUCGGGUGUAUUCCUACCUUGAAGUCAGGAACAGCAUGCUUCACCUGAGGGCAGGCAGGGCUAAGAGAAAGCCUAAGAACCAACACUGGCUGUGUUUUUUAUGAUUGAGAACUCAUUGUUAAUGCCAUGUGUUUCUGCUGAGAGCUGCCUUCAGCUUUUCUGUGUUCUCUAGGGUAAAAUUGAGUUCUUUAUGCUGUUUUAGGCCUCUUUGCCUUUCCAUGGGCCCAUUCCCUCAACCUGGAAUGCCCUGUCACCCAUGCCUCCUCAAAAAUGGGUAAUAGGGAAAAGGGUGCUUAUUACUUUUUUCAGGUAAAUCUCACUUAUUCUGCAAAACUUAUAUUAACUCUCAUCUCCUUCAGGAUACCUUACCUGACCCCUCAAUUUGAUUUAGACCAGAGGUUGGCAAACAUUUUCUGUGAAGGGUCAGAUAUUAAAUAUUUUAGUCUUUGUUUACCUUACCUGUUGUGUGUUGAACUCUGUUGUGUAGUGAAAAGCAGCCAUAGACAAUACGUAAACCAAUAAAACUUUAUUUACAAAAGCAGAUGGCAGAUGAGGGCAGAUUUGGCCUGCAGGCUGUUCGCUGAGCCCCUGAUUUAGAUCUAUCCUUGUGACUAUAUAUGGCAUAUUUUCCUUAAAUAACUUCUGACAGAAUGUGUAUACCAGAUAGUAACUGUUGAUUUAUAUGCCUGCCUCACUCACUACACUAUUCAGUUUUCAGAGGCAGGGAACAUGUCUUAAUAUGACUUUGUAUUUUCAGCUCUGAGAAUGGUGCCUGACAUGCAGUGUCUGACACUGAGUGUGUGUUUGUUGAACCUAUAAGUGGAUCCUGUGUCCUUGGACUAGGCUCUUUAAUCUUCUGUUGGGGAGUGUUGUUGGGAUUUUAUCAGUGGGAAAAUUGUAUUUUUCAGGAGUCUAGUAGUUUUCUUUUACUUCAUAUUUUCUGAUAACCAGAGGUCCUCAUUUUGCCUGUUUCUGGUAGGGUUUCCUGUCGGUAGUCCUCUCUAGACCUACUAAAGAACCCCUGUUUCCUUUGGAACACAAGAUACUGUUUGGCCUUUGAGGAGACACAGCUCAGUUUAUGUCUUCCUGUUAAGACAAUAGAGCUAUAUUCUAUUAGCUAUAUUGUAAUAUAAUAUUCUAUAUUCUAUUAGGAAUUCUCUAAGGAUUGAAGGCAAGCAUUUGAAAAUGUCACUCAUGCUGUUUUUGCUCACAAACAGUGUUUCAUCUUAGAUUGUUUUCUAAGGACAGGAAGUGGGCUAAGAAUGUGGGGCAUUUUCUGUUUCUUGACUUCUGACUCUUUGGGAGAACUUGAUGUUUCUGAUCAACCUUUUAUGAUUUACUGUUGUUUUUAAACUGAGUAAUAAGCCAAAGCUUUUCCUUUCUUAAAUAAACCUGAUCUUUUUAAAAAUAAAAGUGUCCAGAUGUGAUUUUACUUUUUUAAAGUACUUUUGUGGAGAAAUACCAAUCUAUUUUUCCAUUUCCCAACUAACUGGCAAUUCACUUCUUAGUUGACUUCCACGAUUAUACAUUAGAUAUAGAUAAUUCACUGGAAAUUCUUAAUUUACUUUUUGACUUAUACCUUUAUAUAUAGGCACCUCAAAACCUGAAAUGCUUUUAAUAAUUAUUAUGUCCUAUAUUGCAUAUUUUCCCAAAAUAUUUUUGAUAUUUUCACGGAAUAUAUUUUCUAGUGCUAUCCAGUAGAAAUAUAAUGUGAAUUACAUAUGCAGUUAAAAAUUUUCUAGACACCAUAUUAAGAUAAAAAGGAAAUAGAUGGGACUUCCCUUGUGGUGCAGUUGUUAAGAAUCCGCCUGCCAAUGCAGGGGACACAGGUUCAAUCCCUGGCCCAGGAAGAUCCCACAUGCCGCAGAGCAACUAAGCCCAUGAGCCACAACUACUGAGCCUGCGCUCUAGAGCCCAUGUGACACAACUGUUGAAGCCCGUGUGCCUAGAGCCUGUGCUCUGCAACAAGAGAAGCCACUGCAGUGGUAAGCCCUUGUACCACAACUAGAGAAAGCCUGCACGCAGCAACGAAAACCCAAUGCAGCCAAAAAUAAAUAAAUAAAUUUAUAUUUAAAAAAAGGAAAUAGAUGAAAGUAAUUUUAAUAAUAUUUUUAUUUGACCUGAUACAUCCAAAAUGUUAUUUCAACAUAUAAUCAACGUAAAAAUUAUUAAUGAGAAUUUUAUAUUUUUGUGUGUGUGAGAUAUUGUCUUUGAAGUCCAGUGUGUAGUUUAUACUAACAACAUAUCUCAUUUCAGAAUGGCCAUAUUUCAGGUGCUCAGUGGUGACAUGUGGCUAGUUACUGCUGUAUUAGACAGCUAGGCUAGAAGCCAUUUGUCUGAUAGGCAAUUGUGAGAAGUCAGGCUUAUAACUGGGAAAGCCUGAUCAAGGCAGAGUGAUAUAGGACUGGAUACUGAAAGGUUACAGAGUGAAGUAUGUAUAAUUAUCAGAGAGGCAAAAUAAGAAAUUAUCAGAUACAAUUGACCCUUAAACAACACAGGUUUGAACUGCAUAGUUCCACUUAUAUGUGGAUUAUUUUCAAUAAACAUUUUGGAAAAUUAUUUGGAGAUUUGCAACAAUUUGAAAAAUUCACAGACUAACCAUGUAGCCUAGAAAUAUUGAAAAAAAUAAUAAAAAGAUAUGUCAUGAAUGUAUAAAAUAUGUAUAGAUACUAGUCUAUUUGAUCAUUUUCUACCAUAAAAUAUACACAAAUCUAUUAACAAGAGUUAAAAUUUAUCAAAACUUGUGCAAAGACUUAUAGAUAGUACAUGGCCCUUUUGCAGUUGAGAGAAAUAUAAACAAGCAUAAAUAUGCAGUAUUGAAUCAUAAACUGCAUAAAAUUAACUAUAGUGCAUAUUGUACUAUUAUAAUAGUUAACCUCCUUUUAAUAUUGUGGUGAGCUCAAGUUUUGUGGGUAUCCACUUAAAAUGCCAUGUGACACUAAUCGUCUCCACGUGAGCACUUCAUCUUUCCACUAAACUGCUUAUCACAGUAAAAAGUGAUGUCUUACAGUUCUUGCAUAUUUUUCUUCGUGUUUAGUGCAAUACUGUAAACCUUGAAUAACCCCAUGGGACUCAUUAGAAGUGCCACUAGUGUUGCUGGAAGUGCUCCCAGGAAGCAGAGAAAAGUCUUGACAUUUCAAAAAAAAGCUGAAUUGCUUGAUGUAUACUGUAGACUGAGAUCUGUAGCUGCGGUUGCCAGACAUUUCAGGAUAAAUGAAUCCAGCAUAAAGACCAUUGUAAAAAAAAAAACAAAAGAAAAGAAAAGGAAAUAUGUGAAAGCAUCACUACACCUAUGCCAGUAUACAUGAAAAUGUACUUUUUGUGAAAUAACUUUUUAUUUUAUAUUGAAAACAUAGCUUUUUUGUAGGUAUAGGAUUGCUAUAAGAAAGGCAUACCUACUAAUAUGAUUUGAGAAAAAGCAGUCAUUAUAUGAUGACUUCAAGCAAAAGGAAGGUGAAGGAUCUAAAGCUGGAGAAUUUAAUGCCAGCAAAGGUUGGUUUGAUAAUUUUAGAAAGAGUUUUGGCUUUAAAAAAAAUGUCAAGAUAACAGGAGGAUGACCAAGAGAGAGCAGACCAGUUCCCAGGCACAAUUAAAAAAAUCAUUGAGGAGAAACAAUAGCAGGCUGAACAGGUUUUUAAUGUAGAAAAGAGUGCCCUAUUCUGGAAAAAAAAAAUGCCACAAAGGACAUUUACUAGUAAGGAAGGGAAGCGAAUACUAGGAUUUAAGACAGAAAGGGAUAGGCUAACUCUCCUGUUUUGCACAAAUGCAGCGGGGUUUAGGAUCUAUAAAGCUGCUAACCCCCGAGCUUUGAGGGGAAAGAUAAACAGCAGAUGCCAGUCUUUUGGUUGUACUACAGCAAGGAAGCCUGGACAUUGAGAACCCUUUUUCUAGAUUGGUUCCGUCCAUGCUUUGUCCUUGAAGUCAGGAAUUACAUUGCCAGUAAAGGCCUGCCUUUUAAAAUUUAUUUGAUUUGGACAAUACUUCCCUGGCCACCCAGAAACCCAUGAGUUCAACACUGAAGGCACUGAAGUGGUCUUCUUGCCUCCAAACACAUCUAAUUCAUUCUGUAGAUCAGGGGAUCUUAGGGACCUUGAUGGCUCAUUACACAUGGUACUCCAUGGAAAAAAUUGUCAGUGCUAUGGUAGAGAAAGAUCAUGGAAGUCUGGAAGGAUUAUACCACUGAAGAUGCUGUGUUAUUAUAGGAAAAGCUGUGAAGACCAUCAAGCCCCAAACAAUAAAUUCCUGCUGGAGAACACUGUCCAGAUGUGCGCGACUUCACAGGAUUUAGGACAGAACCAAUCAAGGAAAUCAUGAAAGAGAUUGCAGAUAUGGCAAAAAAGGUUGGCGGUGAAGGGUUUCAAGAUAGGGAUCUUAGAGAAAUUCAAGAGCUAAUAGACAGGACUUCCCUGGUGGUCCAGUGGUAAAGAAUCCGCCUUACAAUGCAGGGUUCAAUCCCUGGUCAGGGAACUAAGAUCCCACAUGCAGCGGGGCAACUAAGCCCGCGUGCCACAACUAAUGAGGUCACGUGCCUCAGCUAGAGCCCGCGUGCCACGAACUACAGAGCCCAUGCACUCUGGAACCCCCGUGACACAACUACAGAGCCCACGUGCCCUGGAGCCUGUGCGCCACAACUAGAGAAGAGAAAACCCGCACACCACAACUAGAGAGAAGCCCACACACCACAACAAAGAGCCCACGCGCCGCAAUAAAGAGCCGGCAUGCCGCAACUAAGACCCAGUGCGGCCAAAAAUAAAUAAAAUAAAUAAAUAAUAAAUAAAUCUUAAAAAAAAAAAAGAGCUAAUAGACACCAUACCAGAGGAUUUAACAAGAGAUGACUUGGACAGGAGUGCUUCUGAACCAGUGCCAGACAAUGAGGAAAAAGACAUGGGAGAAGUAGUGCCAGAAAACAACUUGACAUUAGACACUCUGGCAGAAGGGUUCUGAUAAUUAAAAACUGCUUUUGACUUCUUUUACAACAUGGACCAUUCUAUGAUACUGGUGCUGAAACUAAAGCACACAGUGGCCGAAGGAUUAAUACUUUAUAGAAACAUUUUUAGAAAAAUAUAAAAGCAAAAAAGUCAGAUAGAAAUGAGGAUGUAAGGACUUCCCUGGUGGCACAGUGGUUUAGAAUCCAGCUGCCAAUGCAGGGGACACGGGUUUCAGCCCUGGUCUGGGAAGAUCCCACAUGCCGCGGAGCAACUAAGCCUGUGUGCCACAACUACUGAGCCUGUGCUCUAGAGCCUGCAAGCCACAACUACUAAGCCCACGUGCCACAACUACUGAAGCCCAUGCACCUGGAUCUCGUGCUCCGCAACAAGAGAAGCCACUACAAUGAGAAGCCCAUGCACCGCAACAGAGUAGCCCCUGCUCGCCGCAACUAGAGAAAGCCUGCGCACAGCAACGAAGACCCAAUGCAGCCAAAAAUAAACAAAAUAAAUAAAUAAAUAAAUAGCUCCUCUAUACUACAUUAAAAAAAAAGAAAUUAGGAUGUAUUUUUAUCAAGUUACACCCUGUGUGUGUACCUCUCCUGCCUCCCCUCCAACCUCCUCCACCUCUUCCACACCUGAGACAGCAAGACCAACCCUUCCUCUUUCUCUUCCUCCUCAGCCUACUCAAUGUGAAUCAAGACUACUAGGAUGGGGCUUCCCUGGUGGCGCAGUGGUUGAGAGUCUGCCUGCCGAUGCAGGGGACGUGGGUUCGUGCCCCGGUCUGGGAAGAUCCCACAUGCUGCGGAGCGGCUGGGCCCGUGAGCCAUGCCCGCUGAGCCUGCGUGUCCGGAGCCUGUGCUCCGCAACGGGAGAGACCACAGCAGUGAGAGGCCCAUGUACUGCAAAAAAAAAAAAAAAAAAGCAAAAAGACUACUAGGAUGAAGACCUUUGUGAUGAUCCACUUCUACUUAAUGAAUAGUAGACAGUCAUCAUGUGCUACAGUUAAUAAACUUAUUUGUUAUGUAUGUGUGUGUCUUUCUAUGAAAAUCUAAUAACUACUGCAAAAACCACUGUGUCAUCACCACCAUCAUCAUCAUUGCCUAAAUAUCAUCAUGUAGAACAUCAUGUUCAAGACUUGUAUUGAAGUGGCUAGCCUACCUUAUAUGGGAAUAAGGUGAUACUUAAUAUAAAAUUAAUAAUGUAUUAGUUUUCCUACUGUUCUAUAACUUUGCUUUCAAAGUUAUAUACAUUACCAUACAGUAUGCCUCUGUCUUCCCUCCUAAUUGGAGAAACUGCAUAUCACGAUGUCACCAUAGGUAAGUGGAUUUUUAAAAAUGUAAGUGUUUCCAACACUGUAUUAUGAAUAUGACUGUAUGCCAUAACAUUUUUAUAAGGAUUUAUUCACUGUAUAAGCUAAGCUACUGUGAAGCAAUUGUAUCAAUUACACUAAGCUUACCAUGAAGUAAUCAUAUUGCUGCUUCUGUAUUAUUAUAUAUGUAUAUAAAUAUCUGUAUAUAAAUAUGAAUUUGUUUUUACACAUUAUCUUUUCAUUUGUGAUGUCUAGAGUUAGUAAUUCACAUAGUAUCUACAGUGUUUCAUAUCAUAUACAAUAAUAUGGAUGUUAGGUACUGACAGAUAAUCUCAUAAACAGAUGACAUUAACUUGUAUUGAUAUAGUCUCUAGUUUAUUGUAAGAGUACAAUAAUAUUAUAUAUAGUAUCAUGUAUUUUGUAUAACGGUACUAUUAUCAUAUAGUAGUACUAUUGUAUAAUAGUGUAUGUGUAGCAUAUAAUAUUGAUACAAGUAACAUAAAAUAUGUGUUAAUUGACUGUAUUAUCGGUAAGGUGGUCAGCAGUAGGCUAUUGGUUGUUAAGGUGCGGGGGAGUCAAAAAUUAUAUAUGGAUGUUUGACUGCACUGGUGUUGGCACCCCUAACCCCCAUGUUGUUCGAGGGCCACCUGUACAAGCAUCCUUGAAAAGAUAGCCUGGAUCAAAGGCAGUCAUUGCCUCUGCUUACAACAUGUGCAAAACCAUGAGAGAUCCAUGGAGAAUUGUCUCCCAACAUUUAGUAGACAUUUGUAACAAGUAAUAUGCAUAAACUGAAAGAAAAAUAUUUUACUUUAAACAACUGCAGUCACUUGGUGAUGGAAUGUAUAUACCUAUGGGGCACUGCACAACUCCUCAAACCUUGGAAUCAGAUUGGACACCACUACCCCAUUCCCUGUUCCACAUUGAUUUUCUUAGAGGACUUGCUUUUUAUCACAACAACCACCAAAAACCUAGAUUCAGAAAUAUCUCAUAUUAUCAAGGAAAGUAGUGCUAUCUCAUGUUGAAACUGAACUACCUCAAGCUAGUAGUUUAUGUGGUAUAUAUCAGAUGUUGAGGAUUACUGUGUUUUUCUCAAAAAUCUGACACGUCCCAUGGUGCUCCUGUGAGCUCACUGAGGCUCUUUGGGCCAACUUGGGAACUAUAGCCCUAAGCAGUGGUGGAAGAAGCACUGAUUCUGAAUGACCUCACAGAGUAGCGCUGUUUCGGUAGCCUAGACUAAAUGGUUGUUAUUAUACCAGAGAGAAAUAAACUUCUAUCCUCUUCCAGUCAGAUCUGUGGAUGUUUUUGUUGUAGUAGCAUAGUCUCUAUCCUAACUAGUACAAUCUCCUAAUAAAUUCGGCUGCGUCUCAUAAUGUAGUAUUUGAUGACAUGUUCUUGUAUUGUGAAAACAGUAUUCACUAUGUGUUUCUUUUGUCUUUCCAACUUCAGUCAUCACCUCAGUCCACAUUUAUUGAGCCCCUGCUAUGCCCUGGCAGUGGGUUAAAUCAAAUCCAAGUCCACUUCUAUGUUCCUCAGUCCCCUCAGCUGCAGGCCAGCUGCUCUUGAGCAUUCAGCCACAUCUAAGCAAGUCCUCUCCCCAUUUAGCAUAUAGGGUCUGGAAGUUGCAUUGAUGCUUUACACCCAGGAGUAGCUGGUGUGCCUUUGUUGCUGACUGGGCUUGGACCUGGAACUCAGUAAGAAGAACUUGGGUGAUUUGAACUGAAAUGCAUGCAUCAGUCCUUUUUGGCCAGUCUGGUUAGGACUAAGAACCUUCAGGCAAAAAGCCAAUCUGACACAUCCAGCAAGACACAGAGAGUGUUCAGAAAGAAGCAGGCAGGCAGCAAGAUAGAAGGUACUUGUUGUCACUGCCUACUACUGAGCUGGCUUAGACUACUGCUGGGGUAGUGAGCACUGUGUGUGUCUGUGCAAAAGGGAAGCAGGAAGGAGAACAGACUCUGGCCUGUCAGUGAUUGAAGGAAGAGGAGAGACAAAGGAUGGCUGGGCUGGCCUUGGGUACUGUUGGGAGAAGCAGACCCUGUGUCCAUUCACUAUUUUACAACCUGGGGCUCGCGCGCACACACACACACAGCAGCUAGGAAUGGGCCCUGACACCUUCCAGUUCUUCAGCAUGGAGAGAAGAGAAUGCUGAAAGAGUUUCAGUCUUCCCACACCCAAAAUGAGUGACAUUUUAACGUACAUUAAUUGCUAGUAAACUUGACCCAAUAAGAGUCCUAGAAUUUGAACAAUCCAUGCCAACUUUCUUCUUGAUGGCAGCACAGGGAAGAGGAGAAAGAUGCUCUUAAAGCAUAUUCUGUGUAAUACUCAUGGACUUCUUACAGCAGGAAGAGUUUAUUUACCUAAGGAUCUCAGAAGGGUUGAAAUAAAGCAAGAUUUAGGUAAAUUUUGAAUAAAUGAGAAAAUUUGUCUUGAUUUGAAACCAGGUUUCUGGUUUCAGAAUCUAUUAUUAUAUGUUAUUUUUAACAUGUAGGUUUGCUUAAAGUAUUUUAUUGACAGAGAAAUAUAGAUGCAGUAAAAAAAAUCAAGCAGUACAACUCUUAGCCAAUGAGAUGGGUGAAAAAAUGAUACUUUGGUUUUAUUUGCACUUCUUUAAUGAUGGAUGAAUUUGAACAUGUCUUCCCAUGUUUAAAAGCUUUUUCUGUGAACUGCCUAAUCAUAGCCUUCAUCCAUUUUGUUUCUUUUUCUGUUGGUAUUUUUCUUAUCGUUUUGUAAGAGUUCUUAUGUGAAGAAAAUUAGCAUUUUGUCUGUCACAAUUGUUUUAAGUAUUUUUCUAGGGUCUUUUAGUGUAUUAAAGGUAUUUUUCCAUGUACGAAUUUUUAAUCAGCUUGGUGUCUCAUCCCAGGAUCCCCAUAUAUUCAUGUCUGAGUGCUGGGAGCAACAACUAAAAGACCUUUCAGUUAAAGAACACUCACUCAAUUAAAACAAAAACCUCUGUCAGACAGUGAGAGAAUAUAAGCAACACUAUUUGUAUUCAUUUCCUGAGGCUGCUGUAAAAAAUUACCAUUACUGGGUAGAUGAACACGACAGAAAUUUAUCGUGGCACAAUUCUGGAGUCCAGAAAUCAGAAAUCAAGAUGUCAGCAGGACUGUACUCUCACUGGAGGCCCUAGGGAACAAUCCAUUCCUGCCUCUUCCAUCUUCUGAUGUGCCUUAGCAUUUCUGGGCUUGUGGCCUCAUCAUUCCAAAUCUCUCUUCAUGUUACCUUCUCCUCUGUAUGUCUGGCUCUUCUCUGUGUAUUUAUCUUAUAAGGAUACAGAUGGUUGCAUUUAGGGCCCACUAGGAUAAGCACCUCCUCUCAAGAUUGGUAAUUUAAUCACAUUGGCAAAGACCUUAACAGAUUCCAGGGAUUUGACGUGGAUAUCUUUUGGGGGCUAUUUUUUGGCUUACUACGUGACUCUUAAAUACCCUAAUAACAGUAAAAUUUAAAAUGGGGAAUGAGGUGCUCUCCCCCUGCUUUGCCCUGCACCUCAGUAGUGCAGGGGGACAGUGCAGGAUGCUGGCAGCAGAGUCCAGGGACAUAACAUUGUAACUCAGCUGAUUGAAUCCUAAGGACCCAAGAGAAGGUCCCUGUGGGCAUCCAGAAUUAUUUAAAAUGAGGAGUGGGGAGAACUUUGCAGGGGGCUGGGAUCCUGCAUUAGCAGGAGAGGCAAGAACACCCCAAGACUUUACUAUUUGAACAGUUUGUAACAAGACCAGUACACAAAACCUGUGGCUGGCUUGGAGGAGGUCCAGAAGAGGCUCCCUGCACCCCCUAGUUUGCAGCUGUUAAUCCGACAGCUCAGCCUGUUCCAAGGGACUCAACUCCUGGCCUCUAGGGCUGCAGUGUGCUCUGCCUCUGGGAGAAUAGCCAGCUUGGUGCUUGUCAAGGCUUCACUGCCCAACCCCAGGAAGCUUGGUCCUUCAGGCUGAUUCUGGGUCUGGAUGGUGUGUUCCAGGCCCAGCCUGGGCCAGUUUCAAAGGUCACCCCUGUGCCAUCUCAAACCAGCUUGGGCUCUGGGAGAUGUAAGAUGGAAAUGGCCAAAGAUCCAGGGUGUACACCAGGCCAGAGGCAAAAUGCUGGCAGUCUGUGGGCUUAUGCAGUGGGAAAAUACUCAGACAUAGUGCAGUGGGGUCCUCCAUACCCAGACCUUGCAGGCAGCACCAGCGUAUCAAACAGUCUGAGAGCUACGGGCAGCUAGGGUAUGCUGGUAGUGCUGGAUGGGCUUGACAUUGUUAAACACUUUAUUUAUUUGGUUGCACUGGGUCUUAGUUGCAGCUUGCGGGCUCCUUAGUUGUGGCUUGCAGCCUCCUUAGUUGUGGCUCACCGGCUCCUUAAUUGAAGCACGUGGGCUUCUUAGUUGAAGCAGGCAGCCUCCUUAGUUGAGGCAGGCGGGCUCCUUAGUUGUGGCUGGCGGGCUCCUUGGUUGUGGCAUGUGAACUCUUACUUGCGGCAUGCAUGUGGGAUCUACUUUCCUGACCAGGGAUCGAACCUUGGUCCCCUGCAUUGGUAGUGCAGAGUCUUAUCCACUGUGCCACCAGGGAAGUCCCUUUUGUUUUUCUUUUAAGAAAGUACAAGUACAAAUUAUGUUAUUGUCUUUUUCCCUGCUGGCCUGCCUACUGAUCUGUUGCUUGAGAGAAUCCAGUGCAUCUCCCACAAAUACUCAAGUAGCUGGGGAGUGUCCUGGCACCCAACCUUCUGUUCUGCCCUGUUAGUGUGAAGCCCCUGCUCAGGCUGUCAAGGGGGAGGGACACAGGAUGAAAUCUGGCAUCUCUGGAGCCUUGGGUUUAGCACUGAAUUAGGAAAGACUGUUGCAGUGGAAAGCUUGGGAUGGGGGUUCAAGGGCUAACUGCCAGGAUUUGACUUUCGGUGAUAAGAUGUGGAGGUGGGUGAGUUUAGUGCAAAGAACUGGGUUUUACUUCCUGGGAGUCUGUUCAUUCUGCUCUGGCUGAACCUAGGUGCUCUUUUUUUUUCUCCUAUAUGGUUGUUUGUUUUCGGCUUUAGCUUACUGCAGUAUCAAUUUCUGUCAGAGUUUGUUAAAAAGGCACUUUGAAUAACCAAAGGCCAGGAUGAAAGUAAAAUAGGGAGACUUUAAAAUGUUGUUUGUUUUUACAUAACUUUAAUUCCCACCCAGGGUUAAACAAAGUUCUGGUCAGUAUAAAGAAUGCCCAUUGGCUUGGGCAAAGUUUUAGAGCUGGGGGAGAAGCAGUGAUAGCCCUGGAGUUGGAGACCCACCCUGUGGUACUGGAGGUAUUUGGUUGCACCUAAGGGCUCCAAAACACCAAGAAAAAAAAAAAAAAAAGAAUU